rnacentral:rRNA from 1 species
CCUACGGGGCGCAGCAGUGAGGAAUAUUGGUCAAUGGACGCAAGUCUGAACCAGCCAUGCCGCGUGCAGGAAGACGGCUCUAUGAGUUGUAAACUGCUUUUGUACGAGGGUAAACGCAGAUACGCGUAUCUGUCUGCACGUAUCGUACGAAUAAGGAUCGGCUAACUCCGUGCCAGCAGCCGCGGUAAUACGGAGGAUUCAAGCGUUAUCCGGAUUUAUUGGGUUUAAAGGGUGCGUAGGCGGUCGGAUAAGUUAGAGGUGAAAUCCCGAGGCUCAACUUCGGAAUUGCCUCUGAUACUGUUCGGCUAGAGAGUAGUUGCGGUAGGCGGAAUGUAUGGUGUAGCGGUGAAAUGCUUAGAGAUCAUACAGAACACCGAUUGCGAAGGCAGCUUACCAAGCUACUUCUGACGUUGAGGCACGAAAGCGUGGGGAGCAAACAGGAUUAGAUACCCGGGUAGUC